rnacentral:rRNA from 1 species
AUACGUAGGGGGCAAGCGUUGUCCGGAUUUACUGGGUAUAAAGGGAGCGCAGGCGGAUUCGUAAGUCAGGGGUGAAAUCCUACAGCUUAACUGUAGAACUGCCUUUGAUACUGCGAGUCUUGAGAUCGGAAGAGAGAGAUGGAAUUCCAGGUGUAGUGGUGAAAUACGUAGAUAUCUGGAAGAACACCAAUGGCGAAGGCAGUCUCUUGGUCCGUACCUGACGCUGAGGCUCGAAAGCGUGGGGAGCAAACAGGAUUAGAAACCCCAGUAGUCC